GCGCUCGUAGCUCAGCUGGAUAGAGCACCGGAUUUCUAAUCCGUAGGUCGCAGGUUCGAAUCCUGCCGAGCGCGCCA
rnacentral:tRNA from 2 species